rnacentral:rRNA from 1 species
UACGUAGGGACCAAGCGUUGUUCGGAUUUACUGGGCGUAAAGGGCGCGUAGGCGGCUUAACAAGUCACUUGUGAAAUCUCCGGGCUUAACUCGGAACGGCCAAGUGAAACUGUUAUGCUAGAGUGCAGAAGGGGCAAUCGGAAUUCUUGGUGUAGCGGUGAAAUGCGUAGAUAUCAAGAGGAACACCUGAGGUGAAGACGGGUUGCUGGGCUGACACUGACGCUGAUGCGCGAAAGCCAGGGAGCAAACGGG